rnacentral:rRNA from 1 species
UACGAAGGGGGCUAGCGUUGCUCGGAAUCACUGGGCGUAAAGGGUGCGUAGGCGGUCCUUUAAGUCAGAGGUGAAAUCCUGGAGCUCAACUCCAGAACUGCCUUUGAUACUGAAGAUCUUGAGUUCGGGAGAGGUGAGUGGAACUGCGAGUGUAGAGGUGAAAUUCGUAGAUAUUCGCAAGAACACCAGUGGCGAAGGCGGCUCACUGGCCCGAUACUGACGCUGAGGCACGAAAGCGUGGGGAGCAAACAGG